rnacentral:rRNA from 1 species
UGGAUCCAGACUUUGAUUAUGGCUCGGGAUGAACGCUAGCUACAGGCUUAACACAUGCAAGUCGAGGGGCAGCGGGAUUGAAGCUUGCUUCAAUUGCCGGCGACCGGCGCACGGGUGAGUAACGCGUAUCCAAUCUUCCGUACACUCAGGGAUAGCCUUUCGAAAGAAAGAUUAAUACCUGAUAGUAUCUUAAGCACACAUGUAAUUAAGAUUAAAGAUUCAUUGGUAAACGAUGGGGAUGCGUUCCAUUAGGUAGUAGGCGGGGUAACGGCCCACCUAGCCAACGAUGGAUAGGGGUUCUGAGAGGAAGGUCCCCCACAUUGGAACUGAGACACGGUCCAAACUCCUACGGGAGGCAGCAGUGAGGAAUAUUGGUCAAUGGGCGCGAGCCCGAACCAGCCAAGUAGCGUGAAGGAUGAAGGUCCUACGGAUUGUAAACUUCUUUUAUAAGGGAAUAAAGUCGCCUACGUGUAGGCGUUUGUAUGUACCUUAUGAAUAAGCAUCGGCUAACUCCGUGCCAGCAGCCGCGGUAAUACGGAGGAUGCGAGCGUUAUCCGGGUUUAUUGGGUUUAAAGGGAGCGUAGACGGAGGAUUAAGUCAGUUGUGAAAGUUUGCGGCUCAACCGUAAAAUUGCAGUUGAUACUGGUCCCCUUGAGUGCAGUUGAGGCAGGCGGAAUUCGUGGUGUAGCGGUGAAAUGCUUAGAUAUCACGAAGAACCCCGAUUGCGAAGGCAGCCUGCUAAGCUGUAACUGACGUUGGUGCUCGAAAGUGUGGGUAUCAAACAGGAUUAGAUACCCUGGUAGUCCACACGGUAAACGAUGGAUACUCGCUGUUGGCGAUAUACUGUCAGCGGCCAAGCGAAAGCAUUAAGUAUCCCACCUGGGGAGUACGCCGGCAACGGUGCAACUCAAAUGAAUUGACGGA